GGGCUCUCAAACACAUCAAAGCCUGCUAAGUCUCCGACUCUCCCUGUGAAGCAAGACACCCCUGUGUUCAGUGGCAUUUGGCAAGGAUCCUGAGGUCACAGCCUGGUUUUGUGAUGUGGUGAUAAUGACUCUAAGUAGUGAACGCCAAAGACUUUAUAUUCUGCCUGCAAAUCAUGAUGGGAUCUAAUGACACAGCAUGUAAAAGUUCUCAAGUAUUGCUUUGCCACCUCCACUGCUCAUUAACUUAACUUGGUAGGAGUUUAUUGAUGGAAGACAAUCAAACAUUUUUAUGAAUGAGUCACAAAUACUAUCACACUGAUUCUUUCAUCUUUCUUAGUUUUCCAGAAAUAAACAUGUUUUCCAAGGACAGAAAAGGACAAAAGAAGAAAGCAAAAGAUACCUCCUGAUAUUCUCCUG
rnacentral:lncRNA from 1 species